AUUGAACGCUGGCGGCAGGCUUAACACAUGCAAGUCGAGCGGGGUGAUGGUGCUUGCACUAUCACUUAGCGGCGGACGGGUGAGUAAUACUUAGGAAUCUGCCUAUUAGUGGGGGACAACAUCUCGAAAGGGAUGCUAAUACCGCAUACGUCCUACGGGAGAAAGCAGGGGAUCACUUGUGACCUUGCGCUAAUAGAUGAGCCUAAGUCGGAUUAGCUAGUUGGUGGGGUAAAGGCCUACCAAGGCGACGAUCUGUAGCGGGUCUGAGAGGAUGAUCCGCCACACUGGGACUGAGACACGGCCCAGACUCCUACGGGAGGCAGCAGUGGGGAAUAUUGGUCAAUGGGGGGAACCCUGAUCCAGCCAUGCCGCGUGUGUGAAGAAGGCCUUAUGGUUGUAAAGCACUUUAAGCGAGGAGGAGGCUUACCUAGUUAAUACCCAAGAUGAGUGGACGUUACUCGCAGAAUAAGCACCGGCUAACUCUGUGCCAGCCGCCGCUGUAA
rnacentral:rRNA from 1 species